CGUCUCCCAUCUUCAAGAUGGCGGAGGCAGCUUCAACCUCACCUCUCGCGAGGAGUUCGCUCGCAGCCUCUGAUUAGCCGAAGGAACCUUACAUGUUAAGUGACUGUAUCAUAGCUGGCUUUCUGAUGAAGAAUGAAGAUGUACCAUUGCUCUCACAUUUAAGAGUCAAACCAGACGGGCCCGUCAACUACCUAGACAAGACAAAGACUCUCAGAAAACCAUUUUGUUUCAGAAAUGGGUAAAUCUUACCUAAAAAUAGAUCAGUACCAUGGUCCCUUUGGCCACCGUCCACUCUUGAGACUGUGCUCUACCCUACUCUGCAAUAAAGCACUUAUCUUCUACUC